CAUAUACUCCCUCCAUUCCAAAAUAUUACUUGACUUCCAUUUGUCCAAAAAUGGAUGUACCUAUAUACUAAAACAUGUCUAGAUACAUCUAUAUUUUGACAAAUGGAAGGCAUGAAUUGUGGAACGGAGGGAGUACUUG
rfam:Triticum aestivum genome assembly, contig: Triticum_aestivum_CS42_TGACv1_scaffold_223714_3B